GAGGACCAUAGCUCAGUGAUAGAGCAUUUCCUUUGCAUGCAGAAGGUCCCUGGUCAAUCCCUGGUGUCUGCA